GCGUAUGCAACCUACCUUUUACAGGGGGAUAGCCCCUUUAAAUGUUGAAUAAUACCCCAUACGAUCCUAUUUAGGCAUCUAAAUAGGAGGAAAACUCCGGUGGUAAAAGAUGGGCAUGCGUCCUAUUAGCUAGAUGGUGAGGUAACGGCUCACCAUGGCUACGAUAGGUAGGGGUCCUGAGAGGGAGAUCCCCCACACUGGUACUGAGACACGGACCAGACUCCUACGGGAGGCAGCAGUGAGGAAUAUUGGACAAUGGAGGCAACUCUGAUCCAGCCAUGCCGCGUGCAGGAAGACGGCCCUAUGGGUUGUAAACUGCUUUUAUACAGGAAGAAUGUUACCUACGCGUAGGUAUUUGACGGUACUGUAAGAAUAAGGAUCGGCUAACUCCGUGCCAGCAGCCGCGGUAAUACGGAGGAUCCAAGCGUUAUCCGGAAUCAUUGGGUUUAAAGGGUCCGCAGGCGGUUCAUUAAGUCAGAGGUGAAAUCCUACCGCUCAACGGUAGCAUUGCCUUUGAUACUGAUGGACUUGAGUUAUAGUGAAGUAGUUAGAAUGUGUAGUGUAGCGGUGAAAUGCAUAGAUAUUACACAGAAUACCGAUUGCGAAAGCAGAUUACUAACUGUAUACUGACGCUGAGGGACGAAAGCGUGGGUAGCGAACAGGAUUAGAUACCCUGGUAGUCCACGCCGUAAACGAUGGAUACUAGCUGUUCGGCCAACAAUGGUUGGUUGAGUGGCUAAGCGAAAGUGAUAAGUAUCCCACCUGGGGAGUACGCUCGCAAGAGUGAAACUCAAAGGAAUUGACGGGGGCCCGCACAAGCGGUGGAGCAUGUGGUUUAAUUCGAUGAUACGCGAGGAACCUUACCAGGGCUUAAAUGUAGGUUGCAUAAACCAGAGAUGGUUUUUUCUUCGGACCACCUACAAGGUGCUGCAUGGUUGUCGUCAGCUCGUGCCGUGAGGUGUCAGGUUAAGUCCUAUAACGAGCGCAACCCCUGUUGUUAGUUGCCAGCAAGUAAAGUUGGGUACUCUAACGAGACUGCCGGUGCAAACCGCGAGGAAGGUGGGGAUGACGUCAAAUCAU
rnacentral:rRNA from 1 species